GACAGAGGUGGCAAGCGUUGUCCGGAAUUACUGGGCGUAAAGAGCGCGUAGGUGGCUAGAUAAGUCCGGUGUGAAAUCCUUCGGCUUAACCGGGGAAUGGCAUCGGGGACUGUAUAGCUAGAGGACGGAAGAGGCGAGUGGAAUUCCCGGUGUAGCGGUGAAAUGCGCAGAUAUCGGGAGGAACACCUAUGGCGAAGGCAGCUCGCUGGGACGUUACUGACGCUGAGACGCGAAAGCGUGGGGAGCAAACAGG
rnacentral:rRNA from 1 species